rnacentral:rRNA from 1 species
GACGAACGCUGGCGGCGUGCUUAACACAUGCAAGUCGAACGGUGAAGCUCCAGCUUGCUGGAGUGGAUCAGUGGCGAACGGGUGAGUAACACGUGAGCAACCUGCCCCUGACUCUGGAAUAAGCGCUGGAAACGGCGUCUAAUACUGGAUACGAGAAGGGUCCGCAUGGGCACUUUCUGGAAAGUUUUGCGGUUGGGGAUGGGCUCGCGGCCUAUCAGCUUGUUGGUGAGGUAAUGGCUCACCAAGGCGACGACGGGUAGCCGGCCUGAGAGGGCGACCGGCCACACUGGGACUGAGACACGGCCCAGACUCCUACGGGAGGCAGCAGUGGGGAAUAUUGCACAAUGGGCGAAAGCCUGAUGCAGCGACGCCGCGUGAGGGAUGACGGCCUUCGGGUUGUAAACCUCUUUCAGCAGGGAAGAAGCGAAAGUGACGGUACCUGCAGAAGAAGCACCGGCUAACUACGUG